rnacentral:lncRNA from 1 species
AUAAUCGAUGAAUCUCUUAAUUUUGUUGGUACCAUCUGAGUCUUUGAUGCCUUAGAGUCUUGAAGCGUAUCUGUGUUUAACCCACCCUGAUUGAGAUGUGUGGUUGAUUAAUAUUUGUGAAUCAGCAGUCUUAAUUUUUUUUUUUCCAUUUUUACAGUAGGAUUAAGCGUGGAACUGGUAGCGGCGGUGGAAUAAUGGACCAACGAAAUAUGGUAAUAGAUAAUGGCUAUAAUCGAGGCAACAAUAACAAUAGUAGUAAUAGUUCUGUUAAAAGCUAUAGUUCAAAGUAUUCUGGAAGUGAAUCAAAGACUCAGGAUACCGGCCAAUCAGCAACUGCGUCAGAUGUAGACGAUUAUCAAGCUUCGACCAGGCCAAGUAGUAAGGAACCACAACCCCCGCCAAGGCAUCUAAGGCGGAGGAAGAAGGAAGAUGAAGUCGCUCAUGCGCCGGUGUCUACGAAUCGGCCCUCCGAGCGCAGUUCGUCGACCCAGUUUGACUUGGAAGCAGAUGCUUUCCCACCUUUACCUAGUGCUGUGACUCAUCCCUCAUCCUCCGCUCCAACGCAACCACAUGCCCCGCACCCUUCUCACACCCCGCAUGCUCCACCAGUCGAGGUGGAAGCCUCCCCUCUGCCCCCUGUUGUGACUGUUGCUGAGGCUCCGUCUUCAGACUCACACUCCGAAAACAGUCGGUUAUCAGAUGUAGUGAAAGGAACUGCCAAACAACAGAAAAGCAGAGGAGAGUCUCCGGUUGAAAAUUUAUCAUCAACUAGUCAAUCAACGCAACACAAUGCAGUAGACCUUAAUGUCCCUGCUCCUCCCGUAUCUCCGUCCUUAUCAGACAAGUCAGGUACAGGGACAGGAGCUGGUACUGAAGAGAAAGGGACCAAGACUGAUGAAACUAAUGAGAGGGAGGAAGUAGUGACAACGACUGCGGGAUCAGUGGCACCCAGCAGCACUGUGAGCAAACAUCACACUGCUACAAACAAUGCUACCACCAUGACUGAACACUCUACACCACAUCAGACACAGUCAGAGCAGUCAGAAACUAGCUCUAGUUCAGGAAGUGGAGGUGUAGUUGUUAAAUUAAGCUAUGCCCAGGUGGCGCAACAUAGUAGGGAGAAACAAGAGCGUGAAAAACUAGCAUCAAGCAACGAAACCGAAGAAAAACAUGCCUCUCAUCCAAUCACCAUUCAACACAAUACACCUAGAGAAACUGUAAGUGGAGCCUCAUCAAGAAGUAGAGGAAGCAAAACUUCUUCCGAUCGUGAAGGAGGAAGAGGAGCUCCUCGAAGGGAUAGAAGAGAUAACUCCUCUCGCUUUUCAAGAACCAAAUCUCCCAAAUAGCAGAACUUUGUAGCAAG